rnacentral:rRNA from 1 species
UACGGGAGGCAGCAGUGGGGAAUAUUGGACAAUGGGCGAAAGCCUGAUCCAGCCAUGCCGCGUGUGUGAAGAAGGUCUUCGGAUUGUAAAGCACUUUAAGUUGGGAGGAAGGGUUGUCGAUUAAUACUCUGCAAUUUUGACGUUACCGACAGAAUAAGCACCGGCUAACUCUGUGCCAGCAGCCGCGGU